CGAAGAACCUUACCCAGGCUUGAACUGCAGAGGACACUCUACGAAAGUAGACUUCCGCAAGGACCUCUGUAGAGGUGCUGCAUGGCUGUCGUCAGCUCGUGUCGUGAGAUGUUGGGUUAAGUCCCGCAACGAGCGCAACCCUUGUCUUCUGUUGCCAUCGGGUCAAGCCGGGCACUCUGAAGAGACUGCCGGUGACAAACCGGAGGAAGGUGGGGAUGACGUCAAGUCAGCAUGGCCUUUAUGUCUGGGGCCACACACGUGCUACAAUGGCCGGUACAAACCGUCGCGAGCCCGCGAGGGGGAGCUAAUCGGAGAAAGCCGGUCUCAGUUCGGAUUGUAGGCUGCAACUCGCCUGCAUGAAGUUGGAAUCGCUAGUAAUCGCGGAUCAGCACGCCGCGGUGAAUACGUUCCCGGGCCUUGUACACACCGCCCGUCACAUCACGAAAGCUGGCUGUACUAGAAGUUGCUGAGCCAACCCGCAAGGGAGGCAAGUUCCUAAGGUA
rnacentral:rRNA from 1 species